rnacentral:miRNA from 1 species
GCCCUCCGCCCGUGCACCCCG